rnacentral:sRNA from 1 species
UGGAAGAUGACUGAGUCCGCACGUGACGG